rnacentral:rRNA from 1 species
GUGCAGCAGUCGAGAAUCAUCCGCAAUGCGCGAAAGCGUGACGGUGCGACGCCGCGUGCGGGAUUAAGCCCUUCGGGGUGUAAACCGCUUUUCGGAGGUAUGAAGCGACCGGGGAGAAUAUACUCGGGAGUUGACGUCAACUCCGGAAUAAGCCACGGCUAACUCUGUGCCAGCAGCCGCGGUAAGACAGAGGUGGCGAGCGUUGUUCGGAAUUAUUGGGCUUAAAGAGCGCGUAGGCGGUCCUGUAAGUCAGUGGUGAAAUCCCUCGGCUCAACCGAGGAAUUGCUUCUGAUACUAUGGGACUUGAGCGGUUCAGAGGCGAGCGGAACUCUGGGUGGAGCGGCGAAAUGCGUAGAUAUCCAGGGGAACGCCAGAGGUGAAGACGGCUCGCUGGGGACCUGCUGACGCUGAGGCGCGAAAGUUAGGGUAGCGAACGGGAUUAGAUACCCCGGUAGUCC